UCUGUUGUGAAUCCUGCCCACUUCUUUGCAUGGUCAGCACAUGCUUCAGUGCUCUGAGAGUGUUUAUAGAGCUGUGAGUUUAACACUUCAUGACUGAGAGCAGAACAGAACACAAUCUUCAUCAUCACACAAGACACAACAACAACAAUGAACAACAUCAUCAUCCUCAUCUGGACCACUGCAGCUUUUAUUCAAGGAUCCAGUGGACUCACUGUGACUCAGCCUAAAAUUAAAACGGUCCAACAAAGUCAAAGAGUUACAAUAGAGUGCAGUACAGAUGUGGGGAUAAACUAUGACAACUUAGCCUGGUAUCAGCAGAAACCUGGAGAAACUCCUAAACUCCUCAUUCAUGAUAUAAGAAGCCUUUAUACAGGAACUCCAUCUAGAUUCAGUGGCAGUGGAUCUAGCGGAGGAAAAGAUUUCACUCUGACCAUCAGUGGAGUCCAGACUGAAGAUACAGGAGAUUAUUACUGUCAGAGUGAACACUAUAUCAGUAGUAGCUAUGUGUUCACACAGUGAUAAAGAGUCGUACAAAAACCUCCGUCAGUCAGAGUCACAGUGACUGCACUGAUACAGCUGAGAGACACUGCAGCUGCUGAUGGAGGAUGUUUUACAUACAAAUUGGUGUAGCAAAUUUAACAAAACUUUAAAUGUCUAAAUUAAGAUAAAAAUAAUGAAAUAUACAAUUAACAAAAUGUUAACGUUUUUACAUUACUUAUACAAUUGUUGCGGUGGUGGUGCUAAGAAGAAUCAGAUUAAGGAGAUUAUGUAAAAAAAAAAAAGAAAAGAAAAAAAGAUUAACCAAAUUAAUAAUCUGAUGGGGUUAGUUCGGGCGCCAGACAAGCUCAGUCUUGCCAAAAUAGCUCUUAAAACCAUCGGUUACAAAAUCAAUUUGAAUGAAAAUGUCCACACAAAAUAAGUUUCAAAAGGUUUUAAAGUUGUAUUGAAGGAAAAAACAGAAAAACUUUCCAGUUCAAAUGUAACUUCAGUUUCACAGAGAAAUACAGAAUCAAACAGAAAACUUAGUAAUUUUGUUUAUAUUCAUAUUUUAACAAUCCACCAAAGUUCAAAGAUUUGCAAAACAAAAGAAACAAAACAGAUUAAUUACACCAAUUUUGUAGUCCAACAAUGGAAAGGAAAUAGAACUUGAGAGAAAAAUGGAAGGUGCCUCUAAGGUAGCAGCUUCACUGACCCUCGAGAUAAAAUGUGUCGAAAG